GACGAACGCUGGCGGCGUGCUUAACACAUGCAAGUCGAGCGGUAAGGCCCUUUCGGGGGUACGACGAGCGGCGAACGGGUAGGAGUAACACGUGGGUGGACCUCGCCCUCCAGCUCUGGGAGUAAGCCUGGGAAACCGGGGUACCUAAUACCGGAUAUGACUCCAUGACGCAUGUUGUGGGGUGGAAAGCCUUGUGCGGCUGAGGAUGGGCCCGCCGGCCUAUCAGCUUGUUGGUGGGGUGAUGGCCUACCAAGGCGACGACGGGUAGCCGGCCUGAGAGGGCGACCGGCCACACUGGGACUGAGACACGGCCCAGACUCCUACGGGAGGCAGCAGUGGGGAAUCUUGCGCAAUGGGCGAAAGCCUGACGCAGCGACGCCGCGUGAGGGAUGACGGCC
rnacentral:rRNA from 1 species